AAAGUACUCCCUCCGUCCCAAAAUUCUUGUCUUAGAUUUGUCUAGAUACGNUUGUCUUAGAUUUGUCUAGAUACGGAUGUAUCAAGUCACAUUUUAGUAUUAGAUACAUCCGUAUCUAGACAAAUCUAAGACAAGAAAUUUGGGACAGAGGGAGUAGUUG
rnacentral:pre_miRNA from 1 species